rnacentral:lncRNA from 10 species
AAGAUUAAUGAGAUACUUUACAUUUUCAUACUAAAUCUUUUUUUAAAUUUUUGUGAGUACAUAGUAGGUAUAAACAUUUAGGGAUGAAGUUUCUUACUGUGUUUUCCCAGUAACAAGCACUGGCAUCAGCUGUCAUGAUUUCUCCCCAAGGCCUAGGAUGGUCAGCCUCGCACGCUCCACAGCAGAGUGACUGAAGCUCUAUCGAGGUGUGGCACGAGCGUGUUGUCAUUUCAAGAGAAUCUGCAGCCUCCCUGGUUUUUAAUGAAAGCUCCUAUGCAGGGCCUGGCCCUUUCCUGGGGAGGGAAGGCUGGCUGUGUCUCCCGCUGCAUCCUCACUGGGAACUUCAUUCCUGAGCUGCGACCGCUAUUUUUUGGAUUGGAAAAUGCCUUGGGAACGGCUCAUCUUCCUGCGGCUUGAGCCCAUUUGUUUUCUGACUGGUGGUCACUGGUGAUUAGAGUGUGUCCCAAAGGGAACCGUCACCUUAGUUCUAUCAUACACUAUCAAUAACUUGUCCAGGGCUGACUUUGUGGCUGUGUGGCUUGCCCAGUGGUAGAGGGCCGGUGUGCAGAAGGGCCCCACACUCAAUGUUUGGCUGUCCCCGGUCUUAAAAUUCUUAGUCAUUCUUGAACAAGGGAACCCAUAUUUUCAUUUUGUUCUAGGCUCUGAGAGUUACAUAAUUGAUUCUGACUUUGGCUGUUGGUCAACAGUGUCAUAAGGCUGUUGUAGAAUCUGCUCAGCCAGGGAGGGGAAAGGAGUCGGCAAUCAGGUCUCCUCCUGGGCACCUUUGUGAGGCCAGCUGGCGAGAGUGGGGGGUGACACUGAGGUCCCAGCAGCUCCAAAUGCAGGCAGAGCCCUGUCCUCAGAGAAGGUCACAGCCUAGCCAAGCCCAGCCAGGUGGAUGGGCCCACGGAACGCACAGGAACCUGGAACGGAGGUUGAAAGCAGGAAGCACAGUCUGUGACUCCCCAGCCCACUCUGCAUUCGACCACUUGGGGCCCAGAAGCUUCAGGAAAGGUGCACAAGGUCACUGGGUCCCAGUACUCCCAACAGGAAGGUCUGGUCCAGGGACAGGGCUCUUCCCGACUCCCCUUAGCCACACGCACCAGAAGUUCUGCAGUGCCCAGUGGGCAUAGCAGUCCCCAAGAAUGACCCAGCACUGAAGCUGAGCCAAAGAACUUGGGGAGCGAGCCACACCCCCUCACUCCCUCUUCGCCUGCUCCAGACUUGCCAGGCGGUUGCUUUUCGUGGGAACCGGGAUGUCCUCACCACCCUGUCCAGGGCCCAGCCCCAUGUCCCUGGCCUGCUACAGCUGGAAAAAAAAAAGAGAGAUGUUUGUUUUUAUUUGUUUAUAAAAAGAAAAGUGUUAUAUAUAUAACAUAUUAUACCUCAUGAAUACAUACAAUUAUUUGUCAAUUAACAAUAAAGAAAAAUACAGCAAGCAAAAAAGACUCUCUUCCACAAAAAUAGUGUUCAUUACAGAAAAGUACAAAAAAAAAAAAAAAAAACUAAGAGGAUAUUUAGAAUUAAGAAAAAACUAAGAGGGUAUUUAGAAUUAAAAAAUAAAAAGAAAACAAUUACCCAUGAGGUAAUUACUGAAUGCAUUUGGUUGAAAGUCCUUCUGCUAUAUUUUCCAAACUGUAUGUGUAUAUAUGUGCGCAUGCAUAUAUGUGUUUGUGUGUGUGUACACAUAUCUAUAUGAAUGGACCAUAUCGUAAGUUAUAAAUGCAUACAUAUAUUCAUGUAUAUAUAAUCAUUAGAUCAUACUAUAGGUUAUUUUACAGUCUUUUUGUUGAAUACGUUGUGAGCAUUUUAUGUCAUUAUUUUCUACAAGAUUUGAAAAAUAAAG